rnacentral:rRNA from 1 species
GUGGGGAAUCUUGCGCAAUGGGCGAAAGCCUGACGCAGCCAUGCCGCGUGAAUGAUGAAGGUCUUAGGAUUGUAAAAUUCUUUCACCGGGGACGAUAAUGACGGUACCCGGAGAAGAAGCCCCGGCUAACUUCGUGCCAGCAGCCGCGGUAAUACGAAGGGGGCUAGCGUUGCUCGGAAUUACUGGGCGUAAAGGGCGCGUAGGCGGACAGUUUAGUCAGAGGUGGAAGCCCAGGCUCAACCUUGGAAUUGCCUUUGAUACUGGCUGUCUUGAGUACGGGAGAGGUGAGUGGAACUCCGAGUGUAGAGGUGAAAUUCGUAGAUAUUCGGAAGAACACCAGUGGCGAAGGCGACUCACUGGCCCGUUACUGACGCUGAGGCGCGAAAGCGUGGGGAGCAAACAGGAUUAGAAACCCGAGUAGUCC